rnacentral:rRNA from 1 species
AACGAACGCUGGCGGCGUGCCUAACACAUGCAAGUCGAACGGGGUAGGGGGGCUUGCUCCUCUAUCUAGUGGCGCACGGGUGAGUAACGCGUAGAUAAUCUGCCUGAUGAUCUGGGAUAACAUUUCGAAAGGGGUGCUAAUACCGGAUAAGCCCACGAUGGCUUUGGUCGUUGCGGGAAAAGGGGGGGACCUUUUGGCCUUCUGUCAUCAGAUGAGUCUGCGUACCAUUAGCUAGUUGGUAGGGUAAAGGCCUACCAAGGCGACGAUGGUUAGCGGGUCUGAGAGGGUGAUUAGGCACACGGGGACUGAGACACGGUCCAGACUCCUACGGGAGGCAGCAGUGGGGAGUUUUGCGCAAUGGGCGAAAGCCUGACGCAGCAACGCCGCGUGAGUGAUGAAGGCUUUCGGGUCGUAAAGCUCUGUCAAGGGGAAAGAAGUGUAUUGUGGCUAAUAUCCAUGAUACUUGACGGUACCCCUAAAGGAAGCACCGGCUAACUCCGUGCCAGCAGCCGCGUAAGAC